rnacentral:lncRNA from 1 species
UGGGAAGUGGGUGCAUUUCCAAAUGUUGUGCUGGGUGGCAGCCUUUGAGCAGUGGCGGUGUUUGUUUUGCACUUGUAUCCUCAGGGCUACAAAGAACAGAACUACUCUGCAGCAAAGCUCUUCUGGAUGACCUUGGAGUUGUCAGACUUUCAGAAGUCUGCUGGGAUGAUUUGCGAGGAGUCUUUGAAAGUGAACCUGGAAAGCUUUUCACAGGGCUUUCAAUUCUGAAGAAUCCUGCUUCAAAAACCACUUUUUCUACUUCUGGUUGCUUAUCCUGAUAUGCACUAUCAGCAGCUCCAUCAUGCUUCAUUUUAUCCCUCAUAGCUGCUUUUACAGCAGCAAGCCGGCUUCGGGCAGCAGUCCUUCCAGCUGCACCCAGCUUUGGUUUACAUACCAUAUUUGGAACAGGCUUUUUCUUGACAACUUCUUUGCCUGGUACAGCAACUGGUUGCCAUUUGUUAUCUUGAAGCUUCUGCAGAUCAUCAAAUUUCUUAUUCACAUCUUCAAUCUGAAAAUUAAUCAUAUCCCAAAAUCCAUCUAAGUCUGUACAUGUUGUUUCCUUUUCACCCCGCUUAAAUUCACAGUUAUCCACCAGUCCUUCAAACUGUUUAAACCUUUCUGCUAUAAGCAGUCUUGUCUGACCAACUGUUGUGCAAAUGAGAUCUUCGGCAUCCUCUGGAAUGCCCAGCUCAAGUUUUC